GUGUUAGGUAUCUUCGCUGCUGUCAUUGAAAAUUUCAAGCUCAAGAAGCCUUUUGGAUUACAGAAUGGUUACAGCAGCAUACCAAGUUUCCAUACAGAACACAUGAGGACAAGAUUGGGUUGUGCUACUCACACUCCACGGUGAUGUUGAGGGAGCUGCUGGCCCGGCCGUGCUCAUUCUCAGCAAGGCAGCGGUACUGGCCGUCGCCCUGCGGCGUGAUGCGCUCGAUCU